AGGCGCCGGGAAAUUGGUGGAAAACACCUUCGGCUUCCCAGUGUGGAUCAAGCGUGAGGAGUGAGAGAAACUAGGUAAGAGUUCAAAGUUUUUGUUUUUUCUCUGGAGCGAAUUGCAAUGAUAGGACAAUUAUGAAACAAGACUAGAUUUUUUUUAUCUUCAAAACAUAGGGGCUUUUAGUUUAUUAUCUAAGAGAGACAAUAAAAUCUUAAGAUAUUCAUUGAAGGGAGAAAAAAAGACCAGGUUCAGAGGGAGAAACUGGAGUGGCUUACACUUCAUCAAGUCUAUUUUUUCAGUCAACUCAAACCAUUAAAAAAUAUGAUUAAAAAAUGUAUACUUUACAUAUAAUGUGCCAGGAACUUCUCUGAAUACCUAAUGAUCCUGCAUGAAUUUAAUCAUCUCCAGGACUUUAGAGAGAAGGUAAGAGAGACCCAGAGCUAAUGUUCUAAAUUUGUACAUUUAGUAUAUAGUGGAAAUGAAAUGUAUCACAGCAAAAAACUGGAACAAUGUAAAAUGUCCAGUUAAAUACAUGUAGUGUUUCCAUGGAGUGCUGUGCACUCAUUUAAAAUAAUGAUUUUAAUCACCAGGUAGAAAUAUGUAAAAAUAUAACAUGGUAAGUGAAAAAAACUAAGAUAUUCUAUUACUGGUAGUUUAGCUUACAUGUCUUUUGUUAAAAAUAAAGUUUAUCUAAAAAUGGCUAGGAGAAAAACCACAAAAUGUGAAUUAAAGAGUAUUUAUGUUAUGGGUGAUUUUUUUUCUCUGUAAUUUCCUGCCUAUUUAAUGUGGUGACAUUACUUCUUUAUAGGAAAAAUAAACAUAACAAAAUGGGGAGAGGAAUCGACUUUUGAAAAUUUUUAUCAAAUCUAGUCAAGUGAUUUGUAUUUUAAAUUUGACUUAACAGAAAUCAAGUAGGUUUUUCUCAUAGCUGAUGCUUGAACAUGGGUUUGAAUUACUGGGAUCCACUUAUAUGGGGAUUUUUUUCCAAUAAAUGUGUCCUACACAGAGAUUGAUUCUGAUUGAAUCUGUGAGUGUGAAACCUCAGCUAGGAUUAAUUAACUACUAUAGUGAUGUGGAUUUUUUUUUUUAACUUGUCCUGCUGUGGAGUGGCUCCAGGUAGGAAUCUCAAUUCCCAGACCAGGACUGAACCCAGGCCACAGCAGUGAAAGCACCAAGUCCUAACUACUAGACCACCAGGGAACUCCCUGUAGUAAUAUGGAUUUUCAACUGUGGUAGGUGUCCAUGCCCUUAACCCCUGUAUUGUUUAAGGGUUAACUGUAUUAUGAGAUUAGCAAUGGCACUUACAAAACUGUCUUAUUCAUUAUUGAAAACUAACUUUUAACACUAGCACAUCCUUAAACUUGACCUGCUGAAAGCACACCAGUGUUCCAGCAAGAACAAAGGAGAAAGCGGAAGUGAAGCAAGUGAAGCACACACCUUUCUUUAAGGUCAGUCAGUAUCUGAAAGUCACACAGACAGUCUGCCCUCCAUAUCAGCAGAGAUGGAAGCAGCCCACUGUAGUAUGCCAUUUUCUAUAAAGGAUUCGAGCAUGGGGAGUUUGGUAGCUGGUGAGGAGGAGAGAGUCCUGGAACCUAUUCUACUCCCUUACACUAGGGAUGACCAUACCAUAUCAUUUCUAUUCCUUUGGACAGAACUCUGGUACAUGACCACACCAAGAUGUAAGCUGGCAUAGAAAAGUGCUAUCUGUCUUUGAGCUAACAUGUACCUAGCUAAAAACCAAAGAAGGUGUAAUAAGAGAUAGCCUCUGACACCAGAGGGUCUACUAAGAGUCAGUAUGAAUAGAGAUUAAAAUGCAUUUUGAAGUCAAACAAACUGAAAUCAGGGUAUACAUCUGUCACUUAUUAGCUUUCAGACCCUGGGAAAAUUUCUUAAUCUCUCUAAACAUAAAUUAUAUCAUCUUUAGUGUAUAUUUCCCAUAUUUUGGUUACCUUCCUAUUUUUGUAGGGAAUAAUUGUGUGACUCUUGUAAAGCUGCCCUCACACUACAUGACAAUUUUCUAUUUAUAUCAAGUGCACCUAUAAUGAUUUGUUACUAUGUUCUCUAAUAUAUUUCCCUACCCAAAAUUUAAUUAAUUGUUCUAUGAUUAGUUCAAUUAUCAUAAUCAUACACCAAACAUAAAGAUGUGCUUUAAGGAAGUUCUCUAGUGGCUCAACAGGUUAAGGAUCUGGUGUUGUCAUUGCUGUAGCUCAGGUUGCUGCUGUGGCAUAGGUUCGAUCCCUGGCCAGGGAACUUCUCAUUCCAUGGGAGCAGCCACACACACACACACACACAUGAUUUAAAAGAAAAAAGCUUGCAUUUGACUGAAGAGCAGAUGGUGACAGUAGUGGAAUCUUUAUAUUAUCCUCCGAAAUUUAACCUUCUAUCCUCUCUACCCUCUGCAUAAAUUUAUAAAUUAGAGAACAUGUAAAGAAACUACCCUACAGCAGCAAAUACAAGAGAAUUAACAGUCACCUGAAGUAGAUCCUCCAGAACAUCAGAUGAAGAAACAAUAAAGAAUAUAAAAUAAAUGUUUAAAUUUUUAAUUAAAAUUAACAACUCAUUACAAAUAUGAAGCCAUCAAUAUUUUUAAAAUAAAAUGAAAUAUCAGUGUUUUAAAAGAAUAUUGAGAUUAAAUACUUCAGACAUUAGAAACAGCAAAAUAGAAAAUAGUGACUUGUAAAUUGAGGAAAUAAAGU
rnacentral:lncRNA from 1 species